rnacentral:rRNA from 1 species
GACGAACGCUGGCGGCGUGCUUAACACAUGCAAGUCGAACGGAAAGGCCCUGCUUUUGUGGGGUGCUCGAGUGGCGAACGGGUGAGUAACACGUGAGUAACCUGCCCUUGACUUUGGGAUAACUUCAGGAAACUGGGGCUAAUACCGGAUAGGAGCUCCUGCUGCAUGGUGGGGGUUGGAAAGUUUCGGCGGUUGGGGUUGGACUCGCGGCUUAUCAGCUUGUUGGUGGGGUAGUGGCUUACCAAGGCUUUGACGGGUAGCCGGCCUGAGAGGGUGACCGGCAAAAUUGGGACUGAGAGACGGCCCAGAAUGGUACGGGAGGCAGCAGGGGGGAAUAUUGCACAAUGGGCGGAAGCAUGAUGAAGAAAAGCCGCGUGCGGGAUGACGGCCUUCGGGUUGUAAAAAGCAUUAGACUGUGACGAAGAGUGAGUGACGGUAAUGGGUAAAGAAGCACCGGCUAACUACGUG